AGAAUCCCGCCCCGGAAGGUAAGCCAGCCACCGGGUAGCGAGUCUUUGGAGGGAGGGUGGUAACAUCUUUCUUUAAGCGUAAGAUAGCAAGCAGGCAGGCCGUAAGCCGAUUGGUUGAAGGGAUUGAGCCCCGAAAGUGACGCGUUGGGAAGGACGACACUGUUGUAGAAGUGGAAGUCAACAUGGGACG
rfam:Nitrospirae bacterium CG2_30_53_67 cg2_3.0_scaffold_2791_c, whole genome shotgun sequence.